rnacentral:rRNA from 1 species
UUGCUCUUAUGAAGUUAGCGGCGGACGGGUGAGUAACACGUGGGUAACCUGCCCAUAAGACUGGGAUAACUCCGGGAAACCGGGGCUAAUACCGGAUAACAUUUUGAACCGCAUGGUUCGAAAUUGAAAGGCGGCUUCGGCUGUCACUUAUGGAUGGACCCGCGUCGCAUUAGCUAGUUGGUGAGGUAACGGCUCACCAAGGCAACGAUGCGUAGCCGACCUGAGAGGGUGAUCGGCCACACUGGGACUGAGACACGGCCCAGACUCCUACGGGAGGCAGCAGUAGGGAAUCUUCCGCAAUGGACGAAAGUCUGACGGAGCAACGCCGCGUGAGUGAUGAAGGCUUUCGGGUCGUAAAACUCUGUUGUUAGGGAAGAACAAGUGCUAGUUGAAUAAGCUGGCACCUUGACGGUACCUAACCAGAAAGCCACGGCUAACUACGUGCCAGCAGCCGCGGUAAUACGUAGGUGGCAAGCGUUAUCCGGAAUUAUUGGGCGUAAA